AUACUUACCUGGCAGGGGAGAUCACGAAGGUGGUUUUCCCAGGGCGAGGCUUAUCCAUUGCGCUCCAGAUGUGCUGACCCCUGCGAUUUCCCCAAAUGCGGGAAACUGCCUAAUUUGUGGUAGUGGGGGACUGCGUUCGCGCUCUCACCUG
rnacentral:snRNA from 1 species